rnacentral:rRNA from 1 species
AUACGGAGGGGGUUAGCGUUGUUCGGAAUUACUGGGCGUAAAGCGUACGUAGGCGGAUCAGAAAGUAUGGGGUGAAAUCCCAGGGCUCAACCCUGGAACUGCCUCAUAAACUCCUGGUCUUGAGUUCGUGAGAGGUGAGUGGAAUUCCGAGUGUAGAGGUGAAAUUCGUAGAUAUUCGGAGGAACACCAGUGGCGAAGGCGGCUCACUGGCUCGAUACUGACGCUUAGGUACGAAAGUGUGGGGAGCAAACAGGAUUAGAAACCCCUGUAGUCC